rnacentral:rRNA from 1 species
UCCUCCCUCUGUCGGCGUGCUUAACACAUGCAAGUCGAACGAUGAAGCGGUGCUUGCACCGUGGAUUAGUGGCGAACGGGUGAGUAAUACGUGAGUGACCCACCUUUGACUCUGGGAUAAGCCUGGGAAACUGGGUCUAAUACCGGAUACGACCAAUCUCUGCAUGGGGUGUUGGUGGAAAGCGUUAUGGAGUGGUUUUAGAUGGGCUCACGGCCUAUCAGCUUGUUGGUGAGGUAAUGGCUUACCAAGGCGACGACGGGUAGCCGGCCUGAGAGGGUGACCGGCCACACUGGGACUGAGACACGGCCCAGACUCCUACGGGAGGCAGCAGUGGGGAAUAUUGCACAAUGGGCGCAAGCCUGAUGCAGCGACGCCGCGUGAGGGAUGACGGCCUUCGGGUUGUAAACCUCUGUUAGCAUCGAAGAAGCGAAAGUGACGGUAGGUGCAGAGAAAGCGCCGGCUAACUACGUG